rnacentral:lncRNA from 1 species
UCGUCAUUUUAGCAUUUUCAACGUCGUCUAAAAAAGGAAUUUAAAUUGUUAAAAGAUUUUCAAACGCGUUCGACGUUUCACGCGUCAUUUUUAAAUCAUUGAUUUUCCGCAUUUGAGUCGACGUUGAUAUUGCUCGUUUUCAAAAAAUACCAAAAAAUAAGAAAAAAAUCAAAAUUUACAAAAAGAAAGAAAUUGAGGGACCAAGUUGAAAAACCUAGCAACAUUUUUGCCUAUAAAUACUGGUCUUUAACUCAAACAAAGGGGGGGGCGAAUUUGGAAAACAUCAAAAAAAUACAAAAAACCCUAAACCCUAAAAAACCCAAAAACACAGCCGCCCCUACCCUGUUCAUUUUUUUCCUGGCCAAGCUGCAGCCGCUCAUCCAAACCAGCCGGACUUAAACCGUAGCCCCCCCCACCCACCGUUUGUUUUUUUUUCUGGAC